rnacentral:lncRNA from 1 species
CGGCAGCAUGCUCAUCCGGUCGCCUCCGCGCCCUUGGAGGAGGAGGCUCCCCCAGCACGUUGUAAUAGUUGAUGCGAGCUCAUCGUCUCGUGGCCCGAAGGCAGCGACGGGUGGCCGGCUCGAGACGUCGACUGACGCUGCAGCGGUGGCCGGGGAGGAUGGAGACGUGAUCCGGAGGCUGCAGAACGGACCGGACGUGCGUGGCGUUGCGCUGGAAGGGGAGAACGGCCGGGCCGUGGACCUCACGCCGCUGGCGGUCGAGGUGAUCGCCGAGAGCUUCGGGGAGUGGCUGCGGGAGGAGCUCCAGCAGCUGGAGAGCGGGAGGGACGGCGGCGAGGUGCGGGUGUCCGUCGGAAGGGACCCCCGCCUGUCUGGCGCGCGGCUCGGCGCAGCACUGUUCGCGGGGCUGGCGAGGGCAGGGUGUUCCGUGUUCGACGUGGGGCUCGCCACCACGCCGGCUUGCUUCAUGAGCACCAAGCUCCCACGGUUCAGCUAUGACGCCUCCAUCAUGGUAAAGCACAAACUCGUAUUAUUUUUUUUUUCGCCUGCUAUUUCACCGGUAACAGAGGUAGCUCCCGAACUGGCUUGGAUCUAAAUAUUCUAUUCUCGUGGAAUAGGAUAGGAAACUUUCCUUUGCUGUCGAUUGUAGGAUCCAAGAUAAGAAGCGUACCACACGGGGUGAAUGGUAGAAACAUAAAAACUUUUAGCGAAAAUAAAAGUUACCCUCGUAAUCGAUUGAGAUCUCAACGUAGUCAGUCUGACCGACCACCAUGUAUACACCGGUCUGACCGCCCCUAUGCUGCCGGUCUGACCGGUGAUGUUCUGCCGGUUGGACCGCCGCAUCCCUGUUUGUCACCUGCUCGCCGCUGCUGGUUAGACUGCCGCCUUCUCGUUGGUUAGACCGCCCGUAGUACUUCGGUCAAACCAUCAGGAUCCAGAAAAAUACGUAUCGACAAAACUCUUGAAAGUAGCUUAACUUUAUUGCAUCAAUAUAUCUACUAUUAUAAAAAUUGAAGAUGUUUCCGCCAAAAUUUUAGUACGUCAUCUGUGUUUGAGUUGGUUUUCUAAUAUUUAUCUUUAUCUCUAAUCUAUCUUUAUACCUAGUAAAAAAAGUAAGGAUUCCUAGUUAAAAAAGUAAGGAUUCCGUGUAUUUGAUUCCGUACGUCGUCCAUACGUGUCUAAUCCAUUGCCACGCGCCUCCAGCCACCGCCGCACAACGCGGGCCGAACCCUGACGCCGCAGCCACGUCGAUCUAUCUCCCCAUGCCGCCAUGCAUUUUCUCCUCUAACUAAUUGCAAAAAACAAUUCUUCAAUCCUCCCUCAUUCUUUCCCCAUGAUUUCCCCUUUCAAAUUGGCUUUUCAAUUCACUAGAUUUAAUCUUCAUUUAAUGAUAGUGAAUGAUGGCUGACCGGUGAUCUUCCCUCAGCUGUUUUUAUCCCUAGUUUUGUGGAUUCGCUCCGAUUUUGGGAAAAACUGAAAGAAGAGAUCAAGUAGAUCAAAAGCCCCUCAAUCAAUUUUGGGAGAUCGAGAAAGAUAAUAGAUUUGAUAGGGAUGAUUGGCUUUAGCAUUGUACGGGCACAGAACUGCCUUCUGGAAGUUAAGAGAGGCAUGCAAAGCAAAGAGAGGGGUAGUAGGCAACGCUUUUUCAAUUAUAAUGUAUAGCAAUACUGAUGUUUCAAUUUAUUCCUGCGCACUUAAUAGUUGUUGUAUCACUGGAAAAAACGCCUUUACCCGUUACAAUGCACGAGCAUUUUUUCUAGUGUAUUUACAAAGUGCAUCUAAAGCACUUCUCUCUCAACUCUCGAACUAAAAUUGAAACCUCAAAGCAAACCCUAACUUUUCUCUCCCAAAAAGUCAAUCCCUUCUAGCCUUAACCCCUUAUCUAUUUAUACCCACAACUGGUUGCCCCUAGCCACGAAUCCAACUAGAACUAGAACUCCUAGUCACGUAGAAAACCUAUCAAACCUGGGAAACAACAUCCCCAUACAACUCCCAACUUCCCAAACUUAGACUUCAAUCCAAAAUUUUGACUCCACUUUCCAUACACACGCAACACCAUGUGUAUGCCAUAUGAAACCUUUAUCUAUGCGUGUAUUGUUCUCUAGCCUAAGCAUCCCGCGUGAUAUCCUUGACCGUCUAGAUCUUAACUUCUUCCAAGCCUAGUCCCGAUCCAUCACCAGCUAUACACCCAUGGCCUCAAGCAACACCUGCACAUGAACAACAAACAAAAAACUCCAUACCGAGUACACGUUCACACCAACUUGACUCACAUCAGCACACAAUAGUAUCACAUACGGAUAGAAAUCAUCUAGAAGUUAUAAACAUGAAGCAAUCUAGAAAUUCCCAGAAAACAACCUGAAACCGGCUCCCACCUAGAGUUUGCCGGUCUGACCGCCCGGACAUCUCCAGUCCAACCGGCGGCACCCACUUAGUCGGACCAGCAACCCAGUGCCGACCACCACACUGUUCACCGUUUGAAACACUUCACUGCAUUUUUCACAAACGCUUACCUUUAACAAUUGUUCAUCACACAAAUUAAGUCAUCACAUGAUUCUACAUCGAUUUCACAGGAAAACGAAGGUAAGAAUCCAUCCACUUCGAGCUCUUUUUUCAAUUCCUUCGCGUAAGUGAUAAGAUCAUCAAUUGUAAGCAGCUACGAUCGGUCAAGAACAAAGAUGCAGAGCACACCGGAAAUCUAAAACCUUCCCUCGUGCUGGCAGCUCAGUUCUCCCCGCCGACUGCUCGAUUCUUUUCAGCGACAUCCGGCAUAUAUUGCAUGUACGACCACUAUUAGUAUCUCCUAACCAGCAGUCCGGAUCACAUAUCCUAACCGCCAACAGUGGCCCAUAUGCUCCUCCUUUCAUCAUGUAACCAAGGCGAUGCCACCGUCACCCCGCUAUUUUCACUGAACCACCACCAGACUACCCGUUGUCAUAGUUAUCCCUCUGAAUUUAGAGAUUUUUUAAGGUGCUUGGAAUAUAGGAGAGCCAUUAAUCACUUACUAUUCCGUCCAUAAAAAAAUCUACUUCUAGGGAUGAACUGGAUAAGCAUUUGUCCAGAUUCAUCCUGAAGUUUUUUUUGUCGGAGGGUGUAUAAUCUAACGAUCUAAAAUAAAAUAAAAGGUAGAAAUAGAAAGAUAUUUUAAAUGUGAGCCAGGUACUAACUUUAGUGGUUUGGUGGGAGGCUUAGAUAAGUAAUUUCCUCCCAAAAUCAAUUCAAAAGGAAAAAGAUAAAAACUGUUACGUUUUUCUAUUAUUAGAAAAAAUGCUCGUGCGUUACAACGGGUAAAUGCUAUUUUAAUUUUAUUGUUUUUAUACGGUUUAGCUAGGGUAAAAUUUAUUGUGCGAAUUCGUUUGGAUAUUUUUUUUAGAAAAUCAUAAGCUGCAAUUAUGAGUCCGUAUUUCAUCUCAAGUUAGUAUGCGAGUUUUUUUAAAGAGAUUUCUUGUAUGAUUCUAUAUGAAAGUUGUUCUAAAAUAUCAGAUUAAUCCAUUUUUUAAGUUUGUAAUAAUUAAAACUUAAUUAAUCACACAUUAUUAUCACAUCGUUUUACGUAAAACACUUAAUCUUCAAGAGUAAUUCAUCUAUAAGAGUAAUUCAUCCGUGAAGAUUUCAAUUUACGUCAUGACUUACCAAAUCUUUUUUUUCUUUUAGCGGGGAAACAUGACUUACCAAAUCUAACAUAAGUUGAUUUCCAGAACCGAUCUAGUAACGGGUAUCACCCAAUUGCUUGUAUUCACCGAUGAUAAUUACGAAGAUUCUGCAGAUGAAUACAGUUCUUGUAUUUAUAUUUUUAUUAUUAUACCCCGAUAUAGGAAUACCCGAUACAUGAACAAAGAGAAGUUUAGAGAUAUUAUAUUGGACGUGUCUACGACAAGGCUGUACGCUGGAUUGUCAAAAUCAGCGACCUCAAUCUCAUAUCCAGUUGCUACUAGUACACCCAAAAGUAUAUGUAUUUUUUUUCUUCUUAUAGAAUUUUCUCUUAAAUUACUUAUUCGAUUUACAAUCCGAUUACAUCAUUGUGUACAUAACAAUUAAAUCUUUAUAACAAGAUGUCACAUGAUUAUAUUUUUUGUAAAAAAAUAUAAGUUACUUUUAUAAUAUAUAUAAAUUACUUUUAGAUUUCAUUAAAUUACUUCUUAGUCAUAAAAGUAAAUACAGUAAAACCUGAAAGUAAUUUAUAUAUAUUAUAAAAGUAUGAAAACGAAUGCAAAGUAACUUGUUACGGCAUUAAAAGUAAAUCUAUUGUGGGUUUAGAAACAUAAGUCUAUUUGGAAAUUAACCCCACAAUGGAUUUACUUCUAAUGUUGUGACAAGUUACUUUCUUUUUUUUUUACGUUAUUUGUAUAAUAUAUGUAAAUUACUUUUACGCUUUAUUCAAUUUACUUUGAUAUGUCUAAGAUGUAAUUUAAUGAAAUCUAACAAUAAUUUAGAUAUAAUCUAAAAGUAAUUUAUAUUUUUUUUCAUCAAAAUAUAAACAUGUGAGAUCUUGUUAUAAAGAUUUAAUUGUUACGAACACAACAGUAUAAUCCGAUCAUAGAUUGGAUGAGUAAGUUAAGAGAAAAUUUUAUUUGAAAUAUAGAUGGUAGGAAUAUAUUUUAUAUAGACAAGUACUAUAGAUUAACACAUAUUCGGACAACAUCUCAUGGCGUCGCUCAUUAGCACCAGAUGCCUCUUGAUUUUGAUUUUGCAAUAUUAUAUGUAUUAGUAUAAAAAAUACACCAACAACAAAAUGGGUAUUACGGGAAACAACAGAGUAGUUGCAGCAACCAGACCAUGCUGUGCAAUGCAAGUUGCGAAGCAGGAAUAAUUAUCGUGGCAAAUAAUUACUAAAUUACCCAUAUUUCUUAUUUUCUACUUUUAGUUUAUCCUUAAAAAAAACAACGGUCAAAAGUUGUGAUACUUUCCAAGCAUCAUAAAAAGGCCUCCUAAAUUUGGGAACACCUUAUUUCCGUGCCCAAACCUCCCACCCCUGCUCCCCCAACCCCAAAACCUUAACCUGUAGGUCUUCUAUCGGAGUUUGUGGCUCACCAAAAUUUGUCAAAGAUGAAUACAAAGCACGAAUAGUUGGAUAUUUGGAUUAGAAAUUCAUGUCAUGAAUGUGCCUCUAAAAUAUGUCGAGCUAUACAUAGCAUUUUCCAAUACUUAAUAUGAUUGUAAAAAGUUACGGGAACUGAUACAAUUAAUACAAUCUGAAAAGUUAAAACUGGCAUUUAAUUAUGAAUCAUUAUAAUUAAAAACCUACAUAGGCUUGACCAUGUUGAAAAAUAUUACAUUCUGGUCAAAGAAUGCGCAUGAUUUUUUUUCUGCAAAAGAUAAUUGAAAAAAAAUCUGUACUAUAUACUUGCAAAAAUACUAUACUGUUUUGCAUAUUGAAGAAUCAAACGUAUGUUUAUGCCGAAUUGUCGGUCCACUGAAAUCAGUACAUGCGGCUUGCUAUACGUGGGCCAAGUAAUGGGCCAUCACAAUCCAAAAACGUUGAAAGAUGCUCGCAGACACAGGGAAAUGUUGAAAGAAGUACAAGAGGAAUAUAUCCUCCGUAAUUACAUUAAUUUUUUUCUAUUGCACGAUAAAAACUGUUACCACCAAUGGUUUCCCAAAUGCUUAGUUAAAAGAAAAGAAGGUAGGCCUUGAAAGAAUUUUCACAAUAUAUUAUAUCUAUUACAUUUUGCAAACUUGUUCUUAUAUUAAUUAAGUUGAUGAUAAAAUAUUUUAAAAGUUCGGCUAAAUCUUAUAUAAAAAAAGGAAAAACAAAACAGGAUUUUAUAAGUAGGGUUAUUUAAGUUAUUAUUUACUGAGUAAGUUGAUAUUUCUCGUAAAGGUAGGCUAACAAUGAUUGCAUCUGAGUAAGUUGAUAUUUCUCGUAAAGGUAGGCUAACAAUGAUUGCAUCGGAAAAAAGAGUAAAUUUCACAAAACUACAUAUACUUUAGCCAAAUUUUUAAAAAACUACAUAUUUAAUGUGACGUUUCACAAAAAUACACAUUUUGCACUAAAUUUAUUAUAGAACUACAGAUUUAAGGUGAAGUAUCGUAAAACUACAGAUUUAGUAACAAAGUUAUCACAAAACUACAUAUUUUAGAGUUUAAAUCUUUAGUACUAGUGUUAUGUUUGAGUUAUAAACAUCUAAGUUUUGCGAAUAAAUUAACACCAAACUUGUAGUUUUAUGAUUUUUUUUUUGCUACUAAAUGUGUAGUUUUGCGAUAUUAUACCUUAAAUUUGUAGUUUUGUGAGAAAUUUAGUGUUAAAUCUGUAGUUUUGUGAUACAUCACUUUAAAUCUGUAGUUUUAUGAUAAUUUGACCAAAGUAUAUAUAGUUUUGUGAAAUUUACUCUAAAAAAAAUACCAACGCAUGUUAAAGUGGUUUUGGCCAACGCAUGUUAAAGUGGUUUUUGUUUCGCCGGUCUAGUUGAUUCGAGUUUUGUUGGAAGCACAUUCUAAGUGAAGAUUAUUACUGCUGCUGUAGAUGACUGCAUCACAUCUCCCAUACACUCGCAACGGCCUCAAGUUCUUCAUGAAGCGCGGUGGUCUCACGUCCGGCGAGGUGGAAGGGGUCUGCGACCGUGCGGCGCGGAAGUACGUGGCCAGGAAGAUGGGCCUUGGCGGCGGGCGAGGCAUGCCGCCGGUGGUGAUGCGCGUCGACUUGAUGAGCGCCUAUGCGCAGCACCUCCGCAACAUAAUCAAGGAGCGUGUUGCCCACCCGACACACUACGACACCCCCCUAAAGGGCUUCAAGGCAAACAAAAUUCCCAUUACUGAAAUACAUCAUUAUGCUGUAUUAAUUUGGUCCCUAUAUUAAUCAAUGCCAUUUGCUAAUUAAUUCGAGUUACAAAUUCCCAUUGAUAUAUCAUCAUGUACUUGUACAUCAUCAUGUUUUCUUUGGGUCCCCACAGUUUUGCUAACUAAUUCGAGUUAUUACGUUUAGGUGAUCGUGAAUGCCGGCAACGGCUGCGGAGGGUUCUUCACGUGGGACGUCCUGGAGAAGCUGGGAGCCGACACGACGGGGAGCCUCCACCUGGAGCCCGACGGCAAGUUCCCUCACCACAUGCCCAACCCGGAGGACACGACCGCGAUGUCCCUCACGCGCGAUGCGGUCCUGGACCACGGCGCGGACCUCGGCGUGGUGUUCGACACCGACGUGGACCGCAGCGGCGUGGUGGACGCCACGGGCGCGGCCAUCAACGGCGAUCGGCUCAUCGCGCUCAUGUCCGCCAUCGUGCUGGACGAGCACCCCGGCACGACGGUGGUCACGGACGCGCGGACCAGCGACGGGCUCACCCGCUUCAUCCAGGCCAGGGGCGGCCACCACUGCCUCUACCGCGUCGGCUACCGAAACGUCAUUGACAAGGGCGUGCAGCUCAACGCCGACGGCGUCGAGACGCACCUCAUGAUGGAGACCACCGGCCACGGCGCGCUCAAGGAGAACAACUUUCUCGACGACGGUACGCCUAGCUACGUCCAUAUCCACACAUACAUACGUCAUCUGCUUGGAGUCUUAAUAGCAUAUAUAACGUCGAAUUUAACAAGAUUUACAAAUGUUGAUCUCUUGUACUACAUCCUAUAUAUAUGCUAAUUACUUAUCCGUAUCACCAUUUGUUUUCACUUAAUUAAUUAAUUGUUGUUGCGAAUUAAGGUGCGUACAUGGUGGUGAAGAUUAUUAUCGAGAUGGUCAGGAUGAGACUCGUGGGAUUGGAGGGAAGCGUAGGAACACUCAUCAUGGACCUUGAGGAGCCGGCUGAGUCCAAGCUGAUGAGGAUGAACAUUCUGGGAGAAGCCAAGUAUGCAAAACAAAGGGGCACUCAAGCAGUCGAGACUUUUAGGAACCAUAUCCAGGUGCAACUACAUACUUUAUUCGCAAUUCUUUCUCUCUCUUUUUUUUGAGGGUACUCUAUUAGAGUGCGCAGCCCGGCCCACUUGUUAUAAAAGCUAGUCGAUAUAGCGGAACGACGACUAACCUUCCUAAUCGCUUUAGUCAUUGAUCACCCAAGACACACGCCGGAUGACGACACAGGAACACACGAUAUUUGUUAACGAGGUUCAGCCGAAGCCUAUAUUCCCGGGGCUCUGAUUAUGGACGCUCCUCCCCAACCAAUAUAGCUCCUAGCCACUACGAGUCCAUGGCCACACCGCCAUCAUCUCCCUGCGUGCCUACGCUAUAUUGUAGUCGCCAUGGUUAAUUGUGGUGCCCCCCUCUCUAUUAAGAGAGAUGACGGGUUACAGAGUCCGACUCUAACUCCACCCCCUAACACCUAUUACAACUCCAAGUCCAACUGUAACCAAAUAGAACUAGUAUAUUCGGCACCUAUUCUAACAAACUCCACCUUGGCGAAUAUACGCCACCUAGAAGUAGUAGAAUCACCAUGCCGAUCCACCUGUCUUCCAGACUUGGGUUGUCUUCUUUGCAGCUUCACCGCAAGCCGCCCGACGAGUCUGCGCUAGACCCGCCGCCACAAAAACAAUUCCUAUCCCAGCAACCGCUUCCUCCUGGACUCCACCUGCAACAGUGCACCCUUGCAGCUUGUAAAGAUGCGACUCCACCUUUUCUCCAGUCAUCACAGUCAUCUUGCCCUUCAUGAUCUCAAUGGUCUUCCUAUUCCGAUUACCGUGGAAUAUUAACCCUUCUUCAUGCAAGGUUCCAAGCGAAAUCAGAUUCCUCUUUAGCCCUGGUACAUGCUUGACUCCCUAAAGAACAUGUUCACCUCCAUCUUCUAGCUUAAUUUUGACUUCACCUACUCCCACGGCUGGAUAACUUGUGUCAUCGCCUAAGUAGACAAAACCACACUCACCAGACUUGUAUGAAGAGAACCACUCCUUCCUUGGCGUCACAUGAAACAAGCUAGCUAAAUCUAAUAUCCACACUUCUGCAUCCUUAGACUGUGCACUUGACAUCGUGAGAAGAUCACAACCAUCGCUAUCCGAGUCAUUCGAAGAAGUCGCUGCAUUAGCCUUAGCUUUUCCCUUUAGUGUUGGACACUCCCUGCUUAUAUGCCCCAACUCAUCACAUCUGAAGCACUGCACCAUCUUCUUCUUUUUGUUCUUCUUUACCUUAUGCCCAGCAUGAUCUUCUUUGACUAGCAAACCCUCCGCUUGAGAUGUUUCACCCUCUUUGUUCUUUCUCAUCUGAUCACGAGCCAACAACGCAGAAGUGAUAUCUUUAGUUUUGAUGGUCUCCUUGCCGUACGUCAAAGUAGUCACCACAUGCUCAUACGAUUCAGGUAACGAACACAAAAGAACUAUAGCCUUGUCUUCAUCGUCAACUUCCACAUCCAUCUUCACAAGAUCAGUGACUGUUGAUUGAAAACGUUCACAUGUGCUGUCAGAUCCGUCCCUUCCUGCAUCUUUAGCCCAUACAACUUCUACUUCAGAUACAGUUUAUUGGUCAGAGUCUUGGACAUAAACUGAGCUUCCAACUUUUCCCAAAUUAUCUUUGGUGAGGUCUCCUCCAUCACAUGGUACAUGACCUGAUCUGAGAGACAUAGCCUUAUUGUCGCAGCCGCCUGCAACUACAUCUCCUCCCAAUCGUCAUCCUCCAUCUUGGCCGGUUUGACACCCUUCAAAGCCUUUGAAACUCCUUAUUAAGCUAACAAAUCUUUGACCCUAGUUUGGCACAAGCCAAAAUUUCCAGAGCCGUCAAACUUCACCAAAUCAAAUUUCAUACCUGUCGGCGCCAUCUUACCAAUCCGUGACAUGACUGGCCUGUUGCCACCAGAAUACUCGCCCUUCUCAGAACCGUCCGUAUUUGUCUUCACAAACUCAUCUUGUGAUCCGACCUCAGACAUCUAUAGCAGACCACCUGUCCGCCGCCGCACCGAUCUACCCUGAACCGGUACCCGCACACCUCACGUCACCUCUCCGAGCUGCAGCUGAACAACAAUACCCCGCCUGGAUCAAUGCAACCUUCGUGGACCAACAACUGCAACACGCACACGUGUGACUUGAAUCACUGAGCUUCCACCGUCUUUUUGCUAUUGGUAUAGUCACCUUAGCCCUCCUUUUAUAGGAGCAGCCCCGUUGGAACCUGAACCGAGUCGGCAUGAGAGCCAAAGUCCGAUACGCGUAUUCCUUCGUCGCCCUGCUCCGUGUCAACGUUGGACUCCAGUUACCAAACCUAUAGCGCCCCGGGGCUCUGAUUCCUUGUGUCACACGUACUGUCUCCUGACACGGCUGCAUGCAUGUGUCCUCCUGUGCAUGCACCCAACCGGCCAAUGGCUUAGCAUGUACACAAACCAUGCAUGUCCGUGUAGUAAACCUGCAUGCACUUAAAUAAAAAACAAAUAUCACAUGCAUGUGCCAAGGCCCCAUUGAGUAGUGCUCCUCUGUAUGUUCUGCUGCCCUCAUUGCUACUACGUGCAUAUGUGUGUGUAUAUAUAGCACGUACUCCAUACGCGCUGUCCGUACCCACGUACGCACCGCAGUCGCAGCCCUCGUGUUCACCGUCCACGACCUCGUCAUCUCGGCCCUACACGUCUGCCGCGCCGCGCCAAGCUCGCCGGCUUCACCCUUCUGUCACUGGCCUCCCUGCCACCGCGGAUCCGUGUUCGCCGCAUGCGUCAGGCGCGCCGUCCAUGGCGCUACCCCUCCGAUCUCUCCGGUCGCCUUCAGCCACGCCCGGCCCCGUCUUCCGGUCACGUUCCGCCAUCGCCGGUCUGAUCGCGAGUGAGGUCGUCGCCUCCGCAACGUCCUCGUUGUCGCCAUCGAUCUCAUCGCCACGGCUGACGAUCUCCUGUCGAUGCGCGAUCCCCACCUCGUGUUUCCUCCUCCACAUGUCUUCUUGAUCUAAUACUGAAAUCUUCUGCUCUGAUACCACUUGUUAGAGUACACAGCCCGGCCCACUUGUUAUAAAAGCUAGUCGAUAUAGCGGAACGACGACUAACCUUCCUAAUCGCUUCAAUCAUUGAUCACCCAAGACACACGCCAGAUAACGACACAGGAACACACGAUAUUUGGUAACGAGGUUCAGCCGAAGCCUACAUCCCCGGGGCUCUGAUUAUGGGCGCUCCUCCCUAACUAAUAUAGCUCCUAGCCGCUACGAGUCCAUGGCCAUGCCGCCAUCAUUUCCCUGCGUGUCUACGCUAUAUUGUAGUCGCCAUGGUUACAUUGUAGUGCCCCCCUCUCUAUUUAAAAGAGAUGACGGGUUACACAGUCCGACUCUAACUCCACCCCCUAACCAAUGUAAUUUGUGGCUGCGUCACUAGGACAAUUGGCACGUGGGAGAGGCUAUGGCGUACUCCCUCCGUCCCAAAAAAAGACAAACACUGGUUUCCGUGUCCAAUGUUUGACCGUCCGUCUUAUUUAAAAAAAUUAUGAAAAAAAUUAAAAAGAUAAGUCACGCGUAAAGUAUUCAUUAUGUUUUAUCAUCUAACAACAAUGAAAAUACUAAUUAUAAAAAAAUUUCAUAUAAGACGGACAGUUAAACGUUGGCACGUAAACCCGCGGUUUGCCUUUUUUUGAACGGAGGGAGUAGCUGAUUAGCUUGUGGCCCGCUCUCCUACAGAGAUAAAUUACUGGUGCAAGAAACAGGUGGCGAGGUGUUAGUCUGUUUUAAAUUUGUCAUGUAGCUCAAAUAAAGUCUAAGUCCUACCUAUUUUCUAUUUCCAUCAUAGUAUAUUUCAAGCGUUUGCUUCUAAACCACUAAAGAUACCCAUAAAUUACAUUGGUUACUUAAUUGGUUUAUUUUUCCAUGGCUGAGAAAUCAUUGCUCAAUCAAUAGAGACGAUGUUAGCUAGCCAUUAGAGUUGAGUCUUAGGAAAUUGGUUUGUUGAUCUUUAAACAAUCCAAAGAAAGAUUUUUUUUCCAUUGACAGCAGUAUAGAUAUAUAAUGGAAAAUUUUACUGUGCUCAUAUCAUCAAUUAAAAAUUAGUAUAUUAAUUAAUUCUUUAAUACACUUGUUUUCUCCCAUAAAUAGGAAGGGAAACUAAAUGGUUGGGUUCUCGAUGACUGUGGGGAUUGCUCGGUUAGCCAAGGAUGCCUCGUGGACACGAAUGAUGAUCCUUUUGAUGUUGAU